rnacentral:rRNA from 1 species
GACGAACGCUGGCGGCGUGCUUAACACAUGCAAGUCGAACGAUGAACCGGUUUCGGCCGGGGAUUAGUGGCGAACGGGGGAGUAACACGUGGGCAAUCUGCCCUGCACUCUGGGAUAAGCCCGGGAAACUGGGUCUAAUACCGGAUACGACACUCCGAGGCAUCUUGGGGUGUGGAAAGUUCCGGCGGUGCAGGAUGAGCCCGCGGCCUAUCAGCUUGUUGGUGGGGUAAUGGCCUACCAAGGCGACGACGGGUAGCCGGCCUGAGAGGGUGACCGGCCACACUGGGACUGAGACACGGCCCAGACUCCUACGGGAGGCAGCAGUGGGGAAUAUUGCACAAUGGGCGAAAGCCUGAUGCAGCGACGCCGCGUGAGGGAUGACGGCCUUCGGGUUGUAAACCUCUUUCAGCAGGGAAGAAGCGAAAGUGACGGUACCUGCAGAAGAAGCACCGGCUAACUACGUG